rnacentral:rRNA from 1 species
GUAGGGAAUAUUGGACAAUGGGGGGAACCCUGAUCCAGCCAUGCCGCGUGGAGGAAGACUGCCCUCUGGGUUGUAAACUCCUUUUAUAUGGGAAGAACCGUCCUCAUUAAUGAGUGACCUGACGGUACCAUAGGAAUAAGCACCGGCUAACUCCGUGCCAGCAGCCGCGGUAAUACGGAGGGUGCAAGCGUUAUCCGGCUUCACUGGGUUUAAAGGGUGCGUAGGCGGAUAAAUAAGUCAGUGGUGAAAUCAACGGGCUCAACCUGUUAACUGCCAUUGAUACUGUGUAUCUUGAAUAUGAGAGAGGUAGGCGUAAUGUUGCAUGUAGCGGUGAAAUGCUUAGAUAUGCUACUGAACACCGAUUGCGAAGGCAGCUUACUAUUUCGUAAUUGACGCUGAGGCACGAAAGCGUGGGUAGCGAACAGGAUUAGAAACCCGGGUAGUCC